rnacentral:rRNA from 1 species
UACGUAGGGACCAAGCGUUGUCCGGAUUUAUUGGGCGUAAAGAGCGUGUAGGCGGCCAGAUAGGUCCGUUGUGAAAACUCGAGGCUCAACCUCGAGACGUCGAUGGAAACCGUCGGGCUAGAGUCCGGAAGAGGAGAGUGGAAUUCCUGGUGUAGCGGUGAAAUGCGCAGAUAUCAGGAGGAACACCCGUGGCGAAAGCGGCUCUCUGGGACGGUACUGACGCUGAGACGCGAAAGCGUGGGGAGCGAACAGG